rnacentral:rRNA from 1 species
UUAGCAGAGAUGCUUUGGUGCCUUCGGGAACUCUGAGACAGGUGCUGCAUGGCUGUCGUCAGCUCGUGUUGUGAAAUGUUGGGUUAAGUCCCGCAACGAGCGCAACCCUUAUCCUUUGUUGCCAGCGGUCCGGCCGGGAACUCAAAGGAGACUGCCAGUGAUAAACUGGAGGAAGGUGGGGAUGACGUCAAGUCAUCAUGGCCCUUACGAGUAGGGCUACACACGUGCUACAAUGGCAUAUACAAAGAGAAGCGACCU